GUGAGUGUGGGUCCGGCAUGUGAUGCUGCCCCCGCGCUCUUACUGUUGCCGGCCGGUUGGUUCUAUAUCGGAGGGGCUGAAGGGACCUUGUGACGUAUUGAGGGGAGGAGCUACGUCACCAGGGGGAGGAGCUACGGGCGAACAGGGUACCCGAAAAGUACCCUCGCGGGCUCGCUUCGCUCGCCACGCUUCGGGCACGGUGGCUCGCUCCGCUCCGCUUCGCUCACCACCUAAUUACUAAAGGUAAUAGUUGGUGGCGUGGAUAGUAGAGGAACUAUCCCGCUGGCCUAGCUCCUCCCCCUUGCGUCGUAACUCCUCCCCCUUACGGAAAAGGUCCCUUAGCCCACUUGAUUCUAGCAUCUACCGUUGCCGGCCCCACAGCGCAGCACUGCAGGAGAGGAGACAGAGAGACAGCCCUCACUGCUGGGAGCUGAGGUCUCUGGCUGUCAGGGGGCGGAGCCAAGCUCAGGCAGACGUUACAGACAGAAGGCCCACACUCUGGAGGAGCAGAGGUGACAGGAAGUGUCGCCACCUUUAUCCUGGAUCUGAUGCUCGCCCCCCUGCAGUGUCUCUAGGGAGAGACAUGAUGACAUAGGGGUUUGAAGAGGAGGCAUUCCAGCUCACAAUGAAGCAGCAGCCAAGUGAGUCCGGUCAGACCUCCGGUGACCUUUUCCCCACCUGCCGUCAGUCACAGAGCUUGGGGUGCGCCGGAGACCGGGGACGCAAGCCGGGUUGCCAGGGCAACAAGCUGCAGCCAAUGACAGCCACUUCAGGGAUUUCGUCACCGGGACCAGGGGCACGCCUCCCCAGCCUCCGUGAGCAGCUGAACACACACACACCAGCAGGGAUAUAAGAUGCGGUCAUCAACUGCAGAUGACUCCAAAGUGGAAUUUGACUCUUCACCAGCAGCUGAGACAAGUAGAUUGCAGAGCCAUGGACCACCAGCAGAUGUGUCUCCUGAUUCAAAAUAUGCUGUCAUCAACUGCAGACGUUAGGAAGCAUUUAAAACAUCUGUUGGAAAAUCACGUCAUUGCAGAUUCUGAAAGUCCUUAUGCAUCACCCAUAGUAGCAACCAGGAAAAAGAAUGGGGACAUACGUUUGUGCUUUGACUAUAGAACCCUGAAAAAUUGCACCAUAGUGGAUCAGUAAACUGUUCCAAAAGUGGAAGAGGCAUUAGAUUGCCUACAGGGAAGCAAAUGGUUUUCAGUUCUUGAUUUACUCUGUGGUCAUUACCAAAUUCCAAUGCAUCCGGAUGUCCGGGAUAAGGCUGCAUUCAUCUGUCCCAUUGGAUUUUUAGAAUUUAUCAAGAUGCCUCAAGGAAUAAAAGGAGCUCUCACUACUUUGCAACGUACCAUGGAGCAGACUGUGGGAGACAUGUGUUACAGAGAAGUACUGGUCUAUGUAGAUGAUGUCAUCGUAUUUGGAAAAACCUUGGAUGAACGUAAUGCCCGCUUGUUAAAAGUGCUGGACCGAUUAAGUCAGCAAGGGUUAAAAUUCUGCAUAGACAAAUGUAGACUGUGCCAAACCACCGUAAAGUACUUAGGACAUGUGGUAAGUCGAGAAGGAAUUUCAACCAUACUGACAAGGUAGACGCCGUCUUUUGAAUUUAAAGGAUCUGCGCUCUUUUCUUGGUUACUGUGGCUAUUAUCGUCGUUUUGUUCCUCACUAUUCCAAAAUAGCUCGACCAUUCACUGACCUCACCUUUGUAGGUCAGGGAAUAUACCAGCGUCAGCACAAUCAAUGUAAACCAGUAGCCUAAGUCAGUAUAGGAUUGUCCAAAAGCGAAAAGAAAUAUGUCGUACACAAACUUGAAUUCUUGGCCCUCAAGUGGGCAGUAGUAGACAAGUUCCCUGGUUAUUUGUCGGUUUGAAUUGUAAACGUUGCUCCAUACAACAACCCUCUUACCUAUAUUAAUACCACAGAUAAACUAGAUGCUACAGGUCACCGCUGGUUGGCCGUCUUAUCCAAUUACAACUUCACUCUAAAGUAUAAGUCUGGGAUUCAUUACGUUGAUGCUGAUGUAUUAUCAAGACUACAACAUCCUCCUACAGACAGCACUAAUGAUGAAUGGGUGGAGGUGCCUGCUCCUGCAAUACGCAGCCCCUUUCAUCAGACAUUACUACUGAACAAUCCAUCCAAGGGAGCAGCAAAUGUGCUAGGAGCAUCUGGGUCAGCGCUACCGUUAAUGUAUUGCUGGAUAACUCAAGCUGAACUCAAUGAUUUACCGCUGAUCACCAAAGAGCAACUGAGAACAGAACAACAGCGUGAUCCUCAUUUGGCUUUAGUGAUGCAGUAUUGGCAGAAUGGUUACAUUGCUUCUGACUUAAUUGGAAUUUCCAACCAAGGUGAUAGAUUACUACUCGAACGAUUAGGAUUUCCACAUCAUCAAAAGAUUGCUAGUAGAUGGCAGAGACUCCUUACCGAAUAGUGAAAAAGCUACCUGAUAGUCCGGUGUAUCAACUUACUCCUGAGAGUGGAACUGGACCUCUACUUACUUACCAUCGACAACAUUUGCUACCUAUUGGACAGGAUAUCUCUUUUCCAGAUGUUACUAAAGUGGAAGAAGACCCAGCAGAAUCAGUGACCCUUAAUAAAGUAGAUUCAGCUCAUCCAAACCACUCAUUAGGUGAAUACACACCAACUGAAUUCACUGACGUUGAGAUGGGAUAUUUUUACAUUAAUGCAUUUCAAAAUGACAUGCCAAACCAAAGUGAGACUACAAACUAUUGAACAACAGAUGAUUGCUACAGGAAGGAGAAGUUGUAAAUUCUGAUUGUGGUAAAUGGGACUGUGCCAGUGAUAAGAAUACCCAAUCUCCCACACCUGAUGUAUUGUCAACUCCUUCAAUUCCUAGGUCUGAGACUGCAACAUCUGUAUCUUGGGAAGAAACUAACCACACUCAAACACAACGCCUACAUAGGCCGCCCAUGAUUCUUACCUAUGAUAGGCUAGGACAUCUGACCCAGAAGCCACUCAUGAUACACCCUUGUGUGGUGCAGAGCCAGCCCACACCAAUAUGAUGCCCUAGGCAAGAUUUGGCUGGUGCCCCAUAGCACCACCGCUAGUUUUGCCUCUGACCCUGCACCCCUUUCCCAGCACCAUCACCCCUCACCCAUAGUAAUCCUAAUUUUAGUUCUCCUACCCUCUGUAGAAACAAUGCGCAUUUCGGCGCACAGCUCAAAAAGAGGCGUGUUCUUGCUAGGAAGCGGCAUAGCCACACAAUAGCACUCCCAAUUCAAAUUACGCCACACAGUAGUGCAACUUUAUUCACAUUUUAUCAUGCAAUAUUGUCCCUUAUUCACGUUAAAUCACACAAUAAUGCCCCUUACACAUAUGCCGAACACUACUGCACCACCAACCCCCCCGCACACAGCACUCACAUGGCCGCUAACACUGUGACCUCUGCCUCUGCUUGGAUAAAGAUGUGUCCUCAUACAUCUUGCCUCAAUAUGCCAUGCAGCAGGAGAUGCCUGGCGUGAGUCAGCUGGCAGCUCUGCUAACGUCGGGCACCUUUUUGUCUUAUUUGCAUUGCUUUGUGGCUAGGAUGCACAAGCAGCUUCUUCUGACUAAAAU